UUAUAGUUUUGACAAUUGUAGAAUAUUAAAAGCCUUCCUUUUUAAGGAUUAGGGAAAAUAUUCAGGUCAUUAUUUGUUUAACUCAAGCGUUUAAUUACGCGAAUGUCUUCUUCAAAAUACCCUCCUAUGGUCUCAGAGGAUAUGUGUGAGUGUUCUGUGCCCUGUCUUCCUUACAAUAAUAAUAAGCAAAAAGUAAAUACAAUUUGGUGUUUAAAUAGCUUUCCUCUUUUCUUCGGCCACCCGGGUCUUCAUUUCGUUUAAUUAAUCUGUUCACCGCUGGCGCGCACCAGCCCUCUGCGGCGCCCUGGGAGGCUUCGGGUCCACGCGCACGAGAAGGAGCGGCGCGGCCUGCGCCUGGAUCGCGCGUGGGCCUGCGUGCACCGCGGCACCGCUCCUCCUCGCUGCCGAGAGAAGGGCUCCGGGAGCUGUCGGUGCCUUCUGUCUUGAGCGUCCACGGAGUGUUGCUUUCGGUGCCGGUGCCGGAGUCACUAGCUUAGAGCAAGCAAGUGAUGCUCGCCCUCCCCAAGGCGCGAUGCAGGGGACCCCCUGGAGGGCAGAAAUCCAGCCAGCGCAGCACACACGAGCCUCCUGCUGUCCUGCCGGCCGGCCUGUGACACGAGGGCUGGGUCAUGACCCCGCAAGGUAUUUAGGAUUCUACAAUGGUCGCACUGUAAUCAUUAGGCUUCUGAUUCCAGUAAGUAAGGCAGAAGGAGGACUCCUGAAGCCUCCGAAGGAAGGAAAUCAUUACAGGGCCCUACAGAAGUAGGUCAUGUGCUACAGCUGCUCAUAGUUUAAGAGGAAGAAACAUGGGACCUCAAACCUGGAACACAACUCUUUCAAAAUGCUUGAGAGCAGCCCAAGAAAAACAUCCUCCCGAGGCUUAUCUAAUAACCAUGAUCUAUAAUCGUCUCAAUGUGUGCUUGCAUUUCCUUCGGAGUUUGCACCUACUUCCCAGAGCUAACGAGAUGCUGAAACAGAACACAGAAAAAUUUAAUGAAGGGGAUUUAAUAGUUUGUGUUAAAGCUAAUAUGGUCCAUUAGGAGCUGUCAUUUUUAUAAACAAUGAAGAUAUGUUACCCUCUCCUUUGGUGUAAAGUCAUUCCAUGCAGGACCUGUAAACAUUCAGUAAUGAUCUGUAGAACUUGCAUGAAAGACAAUUAAGACACCACUUGAAAAGUCUCUUUUCCUCACAUAUUUGGUUUCUUGCUAAAUAAACUCGUAAAGAUCAUACA
rnacentral:lncRNA from 12 species